rnacentral:rRNA from 1 species
UCCGGAAGUGGGGGAUAGCUCGGCGAAAGCCGGAUUAAUACCGCAUAUGCCCUGAGGGGGAAAGGAGGGGAUCCGCAAGGACCUUUCGCUUUCGGAGUGGCCGAUAUCGGAUUAGCUAGUUGGUGAGGUAAAGGCUCACCAAGGCGACGAUCCGUAGCGGGUCUGAGAGGACGACCCGCCACACUGGAACUGAGACACGGUCCAGACUCCUACGGGAGGCAGCAGUGGGGAAUUUUGGACAAUGGGGGAAACCCUGAUCCAGCCAUGCCGCGUGAGUGAAGAAGGCCUUCGGGUUGUAAAGCUCUUUCAGACGGAAAGAAACGGUCACGGCCAAUACCCGUGACUAAUGACGGUACCGUCAGAAGAAGCACCGGCUAACUACGUGCCAGCAGCCGCGGUAAUACGUAGGGUGCGAGCGUUAAUCGGAAUUACUGGGCGUAAAGCGUGCGCAGGCGGUUUUGUAAGACAGACGUGAAAUCCCCGGGCUUAACCUGGGAACUGCGUUUGUGACUGCAAGGCUAGAGUACGGCAGAGGGGGGUAGAAUUCCACGUGUAGCAGUGAAAUGCGUAGAUAUGUGGAGGAAUACCGAUGGCGAAGGCAGCCCCCUGGGUCGAUACUGACGCUCAUGCACGAAAGCGUGGGGAGCAAACAGGAUUAGAUA